GCUAGAUUGUCGGGCUCAACAGGUAGUGACCAAUGGCUCCAUGUCUAGUUGGCAGCUGGUAUCUAGCGGAGUGCCCCAAUGGUCGGUCCAGGGGCCGGUUUUGUUCAAUAUCUUCAUUAAUGAUCUGGAGGAUGGCAUGGAUUGUACCCUCAGCAAGUUUGCAGAUGACACUAAACU